GACGAACGCUGGCGGCGUGCUUAACACAUGCAAGUCGAACGGUAAGGCCCUUCGGGGUACACGAGUGGCGAACGGGUGAGUAACACGUGGGUGAUCUGCCCUGCACUUCGGGAUAAGCCUGGGAAACUGGGUCUAAUACCGGAUAGGACCACUGCCUGCAUGGGUGGUGGUGGAAAGCUUUUGCGGUGUGGGAUGGGCCCGCGGCCUAUUAGCUUGUUGGUGGGGUGAUGGCCUACCAAGGCGACGACGGGUAGCCGGCCUGAGAGGGUGACCGGCCACACUGGGACUGAGAUACGGCCCAGACUCCUACGGGAGGCAGCAGUGGGGAAUAUUGCACAAUGGGCGCAAGCCUGAUGCAGCGACGCCGCGUGAGGGAUGACGGCCUUCAGGUUGUAAACCUCUUUCAGCACCGACGAAGCGCAAGUGACGGUAGGUGCAGAAGAAGGACCGGCCAACUACGUGCCAGCAGCCGCAGUAA
rnacentral:rRNA from 1 species